UGUCCUUUAAAUAAACUUUGAAUUGACUCCAAUUUGUGUCAGCUGCUGUGAUUUGGUACCUGCACACAAUCUUCCCAAAACUUUUGAAGGUCCUAAAUGCUUGUGUGCGGCGGAAGCAAUGGGAGGGUGCAUUUUGGGUAUUGCAACAGUUAAAGGAACAAGGCCAACGGCCUUCUAGUGUAACAUAUGGACUUGUCAUGGAGGUAAUAUCUGCUUCUUGAUGCUCUGUCAUUGUCCUUUCUUGCAAUUGCGUGUUUGUUUUUUACAGAAUCUAUCACUUGGAUAACACAUUGAUGAAUGCUAGCUCAACAUCUAGUUUCCUUCUUUUUUGAUGACUGUUGGUCUUAUUGUUUGAAAAGCAUGUGGGUUUUAAAGUGAAUUUUCUAACUAGGGAUACAAGCCUCCUUCCUGCCUUAACAUAUUAAUAUCUCCUUUAGGCUUUUUACUUUCCGAAACCCUAACAACCUACAGAUGUGUGUGAACACUUCUUUUUUUAACAUUAAACAUAUAAGAAUGUAUGAUAAAUUUGUUAGAAUAAGUGUUAGAAUAGGAAAUAAUAUUACAUAUAUUUUAUUCUUAUUUUAUUUUAUUUUCCUUUGAUUGAUAUAAUGGGCUGACCCAUAAUUUAUGCCUGAUGGCACUCCAGUAAUUACUCAUUAUUAUCAAUAUAAAAGGGAAUGAGGUCUCACUCAUUCCCUAUCUCUCUCUCUUCUCUAAACUUACAUGGUAUCAGAGCCAUGCCCUAGACAUCUUUCAUUCUCUGCCCCCAUCACCACCAGUUGCCUCCUCUCUCCUUCCUACCAUACGACACACCCUUGUAACCGCCCUCCAACCACCUAACAACCUCUUCCUCUUCCCCUCUUCCUCUACCCCCGACAGCCUCCUCUAGCCCUACCCAAGCCUCCCCCGACACCCCCAGCCUUUCCCUUCCCUCAGCAGGCCCCUCUAGCCACUGUCGAGGGCCCCCAGGUAGCCAACCAACCUCCUUACUGGUUUGGUCGAGUUCGGCAGCCCUUCUAGGGUAGCUUGAGUUCAUUUCUUCCCUUCUGGGAUCUUCUGGUGAUGUAAAACAGCAAAAAAACGAAAAAAAAAAACAAAAAAGACAAAAGAAAAAGAAAAGAGGUUUAUGCUGAGUUCUUAAUUCUUUAUGCUUCCAUAGUGACCAUUGUGCUUGUUCUUCCACUAUCAUCUUUCGGAUUUGUGAUUGGCAUUGUGUUUGAGAAGUAAUUAGUAGAGUCUCCAUGAUAGAUUUGACUAGUGAAUCUACUACCUCACAGCUAUUCAGGGCGAGAGUUCUGUUAUUCCUUCUACUAUUACUGAUAACCUCAACUCUAGCCUUAAAAUCACCAUCUCUUUAUUCAAUAGUCAAAAUUGCCUAGCGUGGUCACAGAGUCUGACUAUUUUCGUGAAGAGCAAAGGGAAGAUGGGAUAUGUUGAUGGGAGGAUGCAUGCACCCAAUACCACAGACCCUCGUUAUGAUCAGUGGGAGAUCACCAAUUCUCUGAUUAUGGGCUGGUUGAUACAUUCUAUGAUACCAGAGAUUGGAGAGGGCUAUUUGUCUAUGGAUACUGCCCAGGAUAUUUGGGAGGCCAUAGCUACUACUUACUCCAGGAAGGGGAACUUCUCCUAGGCUUUGGAGUUAUGUUGCUCCAUUGAAAGGUCGGUAUAAGGUGAGAUGACUAUCCUCCAGUAUUUUACCUUCCUUAGCAAUAGGUUGAAGCUACUCGAUCACCUUAAGGAUUACAAACCUGUCUAUACCACUGAUUCUGCUGGUUACCGAAAGUUUAUGAAGCAAGAGUGGGUCUUCAAGUUCUUGGAAGGCUUGAAUGUGGAGUAUGAUCUAGUUCGGAGCAAAGUACUUGGUAUGGCCGUGCUUCCUUCUCUCUAGGAAGCCUUUGCUUUUGUGCAGAAUGAGGAGAGUUGCUGCUCUGCUAUGCUUCCUUCUGCCACUACUGAUCGCUCUGUCUUGGUUUCUGCACCACCUCGAGAUAAAGAGCAUGCAACUCGUGGUUCUCGUCUUUCCUUUGAGAAGGAUAUUUUUUUCUGUGACUACCGUCGUAGACCUUGACACACACGAGAGACUUGUUGGAAGCUGUAUGGGACUCCUUCUGGUGGCCAAAGAGACUGUCUUAGUACUUGCGGGGGUAGGUCUGGUCAGUCUAGAGGCCGAAGGGCCAAUGCUCGGGCAUAUCUUUCUAAUACGGUUGAGCCACCACCUUCAUCUCGAGUAGUCUCACCGGAUGCUGAUGUUUUGGGCUUAUCUGCCUCAGAGUUUGAGAUCGUUCUUCGCCACUUGCUAGACCGUCGAGCCUUUACUUCUGCCACAAGUGCAUCCUCUUCUUCCUUUGCCAAUUCAGAUUAUAACCCCUUCUCAGGUCAGGAAAAAGUGUGUAUUGCUUAUGGUACUAUUUCAUCUGUGUCAGGAAAAGGACCUUAUUGCGAGGAAGAAGAUUGACAGUGGUAGUGAGGAACAUGGUCUCCACAUUCUAGAUCAGACAAACAAGCUGGCUCAUUCAUCUAUUUAGUUACCAUCCACCAAGGAAGACCUUUGGUUAUGGCACCGUUGCUUAGAACAUCUCUCCUCUUUACUAGUUAAGCAUUUAUUUCCUUCGGGUUUUGAGAAAAAUAAUGUGUCUGCUUUUCAAUGUGAGUCAUGUCAACUUGAAAAACAACACAGAGUUUCUUUUGCUCAUUCUAUUAAUAAAAGUUCAAUUCCAUUUUCUUUGAUUUAUUUUGAUGUAUGGGGUCCCUCAUGUUUUGUGUCUUUAAAAGGUCAAAAAUGGUUUGUUACUUUCAUAGAUGACUGUUCUAAGGCCACUUGGGUAUAUAUCUGAUGAAAGAUAAAAGUGAAGUGUUUUCUGUGUUUCAAAACUUUCAUAAAAUGGUUUGCACUCAGUUUGGGACGGUUGUAAAAAUUCUGCGUUCUGAUAAUUGGGAGGGGGGGGAAUAUAUUGACUUUGGUCUUGCCAGUUAUUUUGCCACUCAUGACAUUAUUCACCAAACUUCUUGCACUAAUCCCCUCAACAAAAUGGUGUUGCAGAAUGGAAAAAUCGCCAUCUCCUUGAUGCAACCCGUUCUCUAUCCUUUGAAAUGCGUGUUCCUCGAUCCUAUUGGGGGAAGCGGUUCUCACUGCCGCUUAUUUGAUUAAUCGUCUUCCUCCCCAAGUCCUUUACAAACAAACACCUCUUCAAGUUUUGUUCGGGUCCACAUAUUCUAAGUUCUUCAUCCCCCUAAGACCUUUGGAUGUGUUUGUUUUGUCCAUAAUCAUUUACCCACUCGUGGUAAAUUAGAUCCUCGGUUUCUUAAGUGUGUUUUCCUGGAUUACUCUGCCACCCAAAAGUGCUAUAAGUAUUAUCAUCCUCCAUCUCGCAAAUAGUUUGUCUCCAAGGAUGUUAUGUUCUUUGAGUCUCAGUCGUACUUUCAGACCUCCCUAAUGUCUCAGUCCUCUCCUGUGUCACAGUCAUUCCUUUAGGGGGAGCCUUGGUAUGAAGAGAUUCAUGUUCCACUACCUCCAAUGGUUGAACAGAUAAAGGAUGUUGAGCCAACAAUUGUUGUGAAAAAGGAAGAAGGCAAAGUUUAUGUCAGGGACAAAGAUAGAUAGAAAGUAACCUGGAUGCAAGACCCUACUUCUGAUCCUCUACUGC